UGGCACAUCUUUCGGGGCUCCGGAGUGGUGCAGCGGUCUAAGGCACUGCAUCUCAGUGCUGGAGGAGUCACUACAGACCCUGGUUUGAUUCCAGGCUGUAUCACAACCGGCCGUGAUUGGGAGUCCCUUAGAGCGGCACACAAUUGGACCAGCGUCGUCCAGGUUAGCCCAGGGUAGGCCGUCAUGUAAAUAAGAAUUUGUUCUUAACUGACUUGCCUAGUUAAAUAAAAUAAUACAUCUUACUGCAGUGUGUGGCUUAGUGGGUAUCACAACCAUUCAUAAAGGUCAGAACAGAUACAGUAUAUGGUUUGCAGGAAGAAAUCACUUUAAGAUUCACUCAUAUGUGCCUAUAUUUGUUAUCUGUAUUUGAAUGGCCAUCUGACCAUACUGUCAUGUGUCCCUGCUUGUCUCCUCUAGCUCGGGCAUGCCUCUCCAUGCCACAGUGUCAGUGUGAGCCACAGCCACACUCUGGGGGGUCCGUGGGGUCCUGGGGACCAGUCCGGCAGAGGACAAGCCAACCAGCAGGGAAGGCAGUGUGAAGACUGAGAUGUGUUCUUCUGGUGUAGGGAAGUCCAACAGAAUCCUCAUAACACCAGGAGAGGAUGCUCUUUUCUGGCAGGUGUCUGGUCCUGGUGGAUGUGCUGACCAGCAACACCUCAGUGCUCCAGGAGCUCAUCCAGGUCCCACGGCAGCUAGGAGAGGUGGCCGCCUUCGGAGGGAGCAACGUGGGGCCCAGCGUGGCCAGCUGCUUUCGCAUGGUGAGCUAGGAUUUACGUUGGUCAAAAUAAGCAUUAGCUAUUACUAUUAAGUAUAG
rnacentral:lncRNA from 8 species